rnacentral:rRNA from 1 species
AUGUACGCAAUUACCAGGCGCCCGGCCCGGACGGGUCCAGCCCAAACAGCCCAACCCAAACGCAACAACGCCUUCAGUGUCGCCACUCCUCUUAGCGUCGCCUUCUCCAAAUCGCCGAAACCCCCAAUUCAUUCAGCACCCACCCAUCUGCAGGUCGCACGCAUCCAUCCCGUACCUGUCCGACGAGGGAGAAAAAAAAUGCUGCGCCACGCCGUCCGCCGCCUCGCCUCCCGCGCCGCCGCUGCCGGCAGCGGCUCCAUGAGCCGCAGGGCCCUCGCGACGGCGCAGGCGCCCGCGGAGGCGGGCGAGGACCCCGCCUUCCUGGAGGCGUGGAAGAAGGUGACCACAAUCAUCGAGCCCCCCCAGACGCCCAUGUCGGCCAUGAAGCCCCGCCCGCCCACGCCGGCCUCCAUUCCCUCCAAGCUCACCGUCAACUUCGUCCUCCCCUACAAGUCCGAGAUCACCAACAAGGAGGUUGACAUGGUAAUGGUACCGGCUACAACUGGCCUGAUGGGUAUUUUGCCAGGCCAUGUUUCCACAAUUGCAGAGCUCAAGCCUGGUGUUAUGUCUGUACAUGAGGGAAAUGAUGUUACAAAGUACUUUGUGAGCAGUGGCUUUGCAUUCAUCCAUGCAAACUCCAUUACUGAUGUUGUGGCUGUUGAGGCUGUCCCCCUUGAUCAGAUUGACCAAAGCUUGGUCCAGAAAGGUCUUGCUGAAUUCACUGCCAAGCUUGGAUCAGCCUCGACUGACCUAGAGAAGGCGGAAGCUCAGAUCGGAGUGGAUGUUCACAGUGCGCUCAAUGCUGCAUUGACUGGUUGAUGAUGGCAUCUUACAUUUUUAUGUUCUUUUCAUCCGCAUCUUUAGAAUGUGAGUUGAAGUCCGCAAACUCAUGAACGAGGAUGGAGGGAAUGAUCUUAAAUAAAUUAUACUCCAUCUCAAAGAAAGACUUGUGUUUCUUCCUGCGAGGAUUUUUGUAAUGUCAAAUUGUCAAAAUAUAAUCAAAGUUAUUUUUUUUCAUGUUUGUGAUGUUGUGGUUCCUGGUGAGUUGAACUCUUCAAAAUUGUGCACGUUUUUAUCAACCCAUGAUGACAUGUUGUCAUGUUCUGUGUAUCUGUGAUGUCUAUUUCCUCGCUAAAACAUAUGAAAGGUACGCUCUAAACUCUUGCAGGCUGAGAGGAAAAGGAAGCUAAAGUAGUCAUUCUUUUCUCAAACUUGAAUCUGUUAUGUGGUGCGCUUUAAACAUUCAUGUGAAAACAUUCUGAUAUCUGAGCCGCUGGGUUGUACUGAGAUUCAUGCAGUUUGUUGUAUUCUCAUUGGUAUACAGACGUGGGCCAUUGCCAGUCUUGGACGAGCAGAUAUUACUAAGCAUACGGUCUGUUUGGUUUACAUGGUUCGGUUCACGGUUUUCUAGUUUGUA